AUUGAACGCUGGCGGCAGGCCUAACACAUGCAAGUCGAGCGGAUGACGGGAGCUUGCUCCUUUAUUCAGCGGCGGACGGGUGAGUAAUGCCUAGGAAUCUGCCUGGUAGUGGGGGACAACGUUUCGAAAGGAACGCUAAUACCGCAUACGUCCUACGAGAGAAAGCAGGGGACCUUCGGGCCUUGCGCUAUCAGAUGAGCCUAGGCCGGAUUAGCUAGUUGGUGAGGUAAUGGCUCACCAAGGCGACGAUCCGUAACUGGUCUGAGAGGAUGACAAGUGACACUGGAACAGAGACACGGUCCAGACUCCUACGGGAGGCAGCAGUGGGGAAUAUUGGACAAUGGGCGAAAGCCUGAUCCAGCCAUGCCGCGUGUGUGAAGAAGGUCUUCGGAUUGUAAAGCACUUUAAGUUUGGAGGAAGGGCAGUAAGUUAAUACCUUGCUGUUUUGACGUUACCGACAGAAUAAGCACCGGCUAACUCUGUGCCAGCAGCCGCCGUAA
rnacentral:rRNA from 1 species